CACAGUUGCCUGCCCUGGGCGGGGGCGAGCGCGUCCGGUUUGCUGGAAGCGUUCGGAAAUGGCAACUUGCGCGGUGGAGGUGUUCGGGCUCCUGGAGGACGAGAAUUGGAAAAAACUACUUUAAAGUUCAUAUGGAACCAAAAAAGAGCCCGCAUCGCCAAGUCAAUCCUAAGCCAAAAGAACAAAGCUGGAGGCAUCACACUACCUGACUUCAAACUAUACUACAAGGCUACAGUAACCAAAACAGCAUGGUACUGGUACCAAAACAGAGAUAUAGAUCAAUGGAACAGAACAGAGCCCUCAGAAAUAAUGCCACAUAUCUACAACUAUCUGAUCUUUGACAAACCUGAGAAAAACAAGCAAUGGGGAAAGGA
rnacentral:lncRNA from 1 species